rnacentral:rRNA from 1 species
AACGAACGCUGGCGGCAGGCUUAACACAUGCAAGUCGAGCGCCCCGCAAGGGGAGCGGCAGACGGGUGAGUAACGCGUGGGAACGUACCCUUUGCUACGGAAUAGCUCCGGGAAACUGGAAUUAAUACCGUAUGUGCUAUACGGGGGAAAGAUUUAUCGGAAAAGGAUCGGCCCGCGUUGGAGUAGCGUGUUGGUGGGGUAAGGGCAUACCAAGGGGACGAUCCAUAGCUUGUCUGAGAGGAUGAUCAGCCACAUUGGGACGGAGACACGGCCCAAACGCCUACGGGAGGCGGCAGUGGGGAAUAUUGGACAAUGGGCGCAAGCCUGAUCCAGCCAUGCCGCUUGACUGAUGAAGGCCUUAGGGUUGUAAAGCUCUUUCACCGGAGAAGAUAAUGACGGUAUCCGGAGAAGAAGCCCCGGCUAACUUCGUGCCAGCCGCCGCCGUAACAC